rnacentral:sRNA from 1 species
UGUGAAGCAAAGAUAGUAUACAGCUAUAAUGUUUUAAUAUAGACAAGCUUACAUAGUGAAACGAAUAAAAUCGACGGCCAGAGCAUACGUUAUUUAUUAAUUCGAGUUUUACCGCCUAUUUAAAUAAGUUGUCGGUUCCCUGCUCAUUUAAUCUUAAAUCUUGACCCGAGCUGCGAACAAUUUCGGAGACUCGCAAUAGACUGCUCUUGAACAAAGGCUAGCAGUAACAACUUAAAUCAAGACUCAUAUGUAAAAGCAUAUAUGUAUAGUUCCAUAAUAUCUGUACAUAAUAAUAAAUCGAAAUUGCUUUGUGUUUCACAACAAAAUAUUUUUUAUUGGGCUUAUAAAACAAAGACAAUUGUUCUUUAAAAGCUCCAUAUGUAUUCAGCGAUAUUAACACUCACUUAUUCUUCAUUAUUAAUUAAUAUGUUUUAUCUACAGACCCAAAGCCAAAAUUAUCAUUACUAUUUUUAAUAUCUCUGAGAAGCUCACAAACAAAAAAAGAUAGAUCUCUAUUCUCGGAGGAGAGACAACCCCGAAAUGAUUGAUUAAAGGCCUGGGGUUGGACAGUUAGAGCAUUACUGGAACAGACAGCGACGUACCCUCUUCUUUACAAUAGACUUAACUCUUGAACGGGCCCAAAAUGAAUUGCAACUGUGGAUCAAAGGAUCACAAUGAAGCG